GUUGAAUCUUUCUGAAACGAUUAAUCUUUCUCUGACAGAACUCAGUACGACAGGGGACUUGCCUGGUGGUCCAGUGGCUGAGACUCCGUUUUCCCAAUGCAGAGGGCCCAGAUUCGACCCCUCGUCAGCGCAGUAGACCCCCUCGUGCCUCAACUAAAGCCCCCACAUGCCUCAACGAAGACUGAAGACCCGGCACGGGCAAAUUAACAAAGGUUUUUUUAAAAAAUGAGGAUUCUAGAGAAAGGCGUCCUGCCCGAGGAUCCACGCCAGCCUGUGGCAGAGUCAGGGGUGGAACCCAGAUGGGCUGGUGCAGCGAGUGAGCUCCAUACCUGUGGAGAGCGAUGCUGGUCUACACUGCCUGCUCCCUUGGACAGAUCACCUGGGAUUUGCACAGCCCCCCCAGAGCACUUCCUUCUUUCCCACUGGAGGGAUGACUUGAUGCCUGACUUAGUUGUCACCUAAGUCGUCAUCGAUGCUGGUCGAUGCUUUGAGCAGGAUGGACUUCAAUCUCCAAUCCCUGGCUAAUAGAAAAUCCAGUGUCCUCGCCAGACCACCAAGAACUCUACAGCAGUUUCCCUUCUUAUGGUGAGCUUGGAGCCAUCUUCCUUCCUCCAGGGAAUCCUUUACUUUAUUUUAAUUGAAGUCCAGUUGAUUUACAAUGCUGUGUUAAUUACUGCUGUAUGGCAAAGUGAUUCAGUUAUUCGUACAUAUGCAUUCUUUUUUAAUAUUCUUUUUGGUUGUGGUUUAUCAUAGAAUAUUGCAUAUAGUUUCCUGUGCUGUCCAGUAGGACCUCAUUGAUUAUCUGUUCUAUAUAUAACAGCUUAUAUCUGCUAACCCCAACUUCCCACUGCAUCCCUCCACCUUUCCCCUGCUCCUUGGCAACCACCAGUCCCU
ensembl:lncRNA